rnacentral:rRNA from 1 species
CAGUAGCCGCGGGAAUACGAGGGGGGCAAGCGUUGUUCGGAAUUAUUGGGCGUAAAGGGUGCGUAGGCGGUUUGAUAAGUCUUGUGUGAAAUCUCUGGGCUCAACCCAGAGUCUGCACAGGAAACUGUCGGGCUUGAGAGUGGGAGAGGUGAGUGGAAUUUCCAGUGUAGCGGUGAAAUGCGUAGAUAACGGAAGGAACACCUGUGGCGAAAGCGGCUCACUGGACCAUUUCUGACGCUGAUGCACGAAAGCUAGGGGAGCAAACAGGAUUAGAUACCCGUGUAGUCCCUGUCUCUUAUAC